AAGGGAUUCGAUUAAGUAGAUCAAAUAAUCUUCAAAAUUAUUAGUACUGGUUCGAAUCCAGUAUCCCUUG
rnacentral:tRNA from 1 species